AGAGUUUGAUCAUGGCUCAGGACGAACGCUGGCGGCGUGCUUAACACAUGCAAGUCGAACGGUGAAGCCCAGCUUGCUGGGUGGAUCAGUGGCGAACGGGUGAGUAACACGUGAGCAACCUGCCCUCCACUUCGGGAUAAGCCUUGGAAACGGGGUCUAAUACCGGAUAUGAGCAUCCAUCGCAUGGUGGGUGUUGGAAAGUUUUUCGGUGGGGGAUGGGCUCGCGGCCUAUCAGCUUGUUGGUGGGGUGAUGGCCUACCAAGGCGUCGACGGGUAGCCGGCCUGAGAGGGCGACCGGCCACACUGGGACUGAGACACGGCCCAGACUCCUACGGGAGGCAGCAGUGGGGAAUAUUGCACAAUGGGCGAAAGCCUGAUGCAGCGACGCCGCGUGAGGGAUGACGGCCUUCGGGUUGUAAACCUCUUUCAGCAGGGAAGAAGCGCAAGUGACGGUACCUGCAGAAGAAGCGCCGGCUAACUACGUGCCAGCAGCCGCGGUAAUUC
rnacentral:rRNA from 1 species